rnacentral:lncRNA from 1 species
UGAAUGCCACCGUUCUCAAGGAUUUAAUGUCCACAGAUGAUGCAGAAUCCUUAUCAAACUAAUACUGAUCGUCAACGUUCCCACUUCUCAUAAGCAACUACUGAACUGGAAAACAGAAGCCCUUACUCAUAGAACAACAGUAAAUGGAGUGAGGAUGUAAGGAGAGAAUGGCAGUAACCACCAAGACAAACAAAAUAAGCAGCUGUCUCCUUCCUCCACGUCUUCCUGCUGGUUGUGACUUGUGUAUCUGCGUAGUUCGCGUUCACCUUUUUUGUAAGUUAUCUUAGUUUUAUUUUAGUUCAUUUUAUUUAUCUGUAAUUCUAUUUUGUUUUUCUAAAAGGUAUAUAUCUUGGUUAGUAGGCUAUAUUCGUGAUUUUUUUUGCUGAAUUUCUUAAAUAAUUCAAUGUCGCCUAGCUAUUUCUCACUCAAACCAUAAUGUAAAGUUAUUAUACUUCAUUAAAGUAAUUAAAAAUGUUCCUCCCCCUCUUCUCACUCAGGCCAAAACACUACAUUUCAUUAUCAUCUGCACAAAAUGCAUGCAUCAAAUGACGAAAUUCCUUGCCAUACUCAGAUCACUCACUACUCAAAGUGAACCUUCUCUUAUCAAGUCAUUCUCCCUCUUCCUUUAGAAUGGCGUAUAUUCACCACAAACACAACCUAUUGCUACACUUUCUACAUCUUUGUACACCAUACACAUCAUGAAGUAAAAUUAACAUAAUUCUCUACAUAUAACAUAGUAAAUGGCCAGAAACAUUCACUUGUGUUGCAAUCCUCACACUAAACCAUCAACUUUGAAGCACAUUACUCACGAGGUUAACAUCUGCUUCAGCCUCAUUCUCUCCAUUUAGUAUCAAAUAAUAUACAUAGGUACACAUCCAACAAAAACUUCUGAAGUCACAAGACAAAGCUCGAGAACCAUUGUGAACAAUAAGGUGCUCAAAAUGAACCACCUGAUCCACAUCCAUGUUCUCAGAUAGUCAUCACUCCUCGCUUUCAUUGACUUGUGUGGUGGCACCACAAUGUAAUACUGCAGCAACCAUCCAGCCACUAAUUCGUGAUGAUGGCAGUGAUGGAAGCAGCUCACUAUUUAUCACCAUUCUUAAUGAAGUAAACAAUUAUUCUCUCCCUACCUUCUUGGCAACAUGCAAUACAUGAAUGUGCACACAACCAAAAGCAAACUUAACACAGGCUUUCUAGAAAUCACUGAAUAAAAGCUACAUCCUCCAUAACUUAGGUGUUAUUAAGGGAAAUAAAAACCAAUAUGAAUGUAGACUGGUAUAUUAGAGAAAAGUUUGAGAGGUGAGAAGUGUGGAUGAUUAGAGGGAUGCUUUGUUAGUCGGGAGAGGGUAGAAGGGAGAUUACAAGCCAAAACACUUAAAUCUCUUACAUCUACCAUGAGUGGGUAAGGGAAGGUGAUUUUGUAUUGCUUAUAUUCUUGUAAGAAAUGUACAAAUCGUGAUACAGAGUCUGGUUUGCAUGUAGAACUACAAUGUACUGUGUACAUUCUGAAUCUGGGGAGAGUUGUUCAUCUAUUGAAGUAAUGUUGCAUCUGUUGUUUGAAAUGAACUUGAGGUAUCUUCAUGUUACAAUUUUUGUAUCUCCAUGUGUGUACUGCUUAAUUUAAUAAUAUUAUGUGUAUGUGUAUAAUUAAACUAUAAUAUACAAGUGCCAAUACAGAAAGUACACCCAUUUCACUGAGUCUCCUCACGCAUGGCCAAUGUUCUAAACGUCAACCCACUUUUCAAGUGGUUACGGAGUCCCAUCCCCAACCCAGUCACUGUUGCUUCUUUGUGAUCCUCAACACACACCACUACUGCUACAGAAUGGCAGCCACGGCACAACACACAAAGCACCAGUUUCACCUUCACUCAUUCAUGGACCACAAGCAUCUCAGCAUGGCAAAUCCUGUACUAUAGCUGAUAUCAAAUGUUUUCAGGCACUGUAUACUGUCCAAGAUUCACUCUUGUUUUUUGUUUUUUUUCUAUGUGAACAAAACAUCUAAGGGAGUUUACAAUAAUACUGUAUUGUCUUCCGAUUCACAGAUUACCAUGACACACCAAACCUUUGAGUAUUUGUGCAUGUUUUCCCUUCUGUUUUACCCUUCGACAAAUUGGCAGAAUAGUCCUUGGAGAGGAGAGAGAAAAAAACAAAUAAAAAAAAUAAAUAAAAAAAAUAAAUAAAGCAACAAUGAUAAGAUUUACAAAAACUUUCAGACCAUAACAUGCUCCUCUGUACAAUUUUUGUGGACAUAUCACAACUCUGCCCCUGAAUUCCUAAAUAGCAAAGGGACAAAUAGUAUGUGUAAAAACAUUCACAUGUCUAGACAAGUAAAACACCAAUGUACUCUCUUACUCCUCAACCUGACACUCACUACACAUGCUGUAUUGCAACCUGAGAAUGAAAACCAAUGCCAUUUACAGAAAAUCUUGGAUUUUCACAUUGCAAUGACAGCAUUAUUAUACCUCAUGUGAAUUCAGAGCUACAGGUUCUAAAGACAAGAUCAGGUUACAGGUCAAAUAUUACAUAUAAUUAAUAAUAAUUCAAUCACUAUCAUUAUCAUGUAAUCUUUGGGCUCUUUCACAAGAGACAAACAGAUGCUAAUAAUUGUCAGUGCCAGUCAUGUGAUACUUUCCCUCAUUCAAGACAAUGCUUGCUAAAGUUACUGUAUCUGAUUGUGGCAACUACUUGCCCUCAGUGAAAGACUCCUUAAGAUAUUAGUCUUGUGAAAACCUUCAAACUGUCUGGAAGAUUUAAACAGUUUUCUUUGUGGAUGUUCAUAUAAAUACAGCACAGCACAGCACAAACACACACACACACACACACACACACACACACACACACACACACACACACACACACACACAGGUUAAUUUAUAUAAAU